rnacentral:tRNA from 1 species
CCGCCCUUAGCUCAGCUGGAUAGAGCACAUGCCUUCUAAGCAUGGGGUCGUUGGUUCGAAUCCAACAGGGCGGGCCA